UACGAAGGGGGCUAGCGUUCUCGUGAUUGACUGGGCGUAAAGGGCGCGUAGGCGGUUCGUACAGUCAGACGUGAAAUUCCUGGGCUCAACCUGGGGGCUGCGUUUGAUACGUGCGGGCUUGAGUUCGGAAGAGGGUCGUGGAAUUCCCAGUGUAGAGGUGAAAUUCGUAGAUAUUGGGAAGAACACCGGUGGCGAAGGCGGCGACCUGGUCCGAUACUGACGCUGAGGCGCGAAAGCGUGGGGAGCAAACAGG
rnacentral:rRNA from 1 species